UACGAAGGGUGCAAGCGUUACUCGGAAUUACUGGCGUAAAGCGUGCGUAGGUGGUUUGUUAAGUCUGAUGUGAAAGCCCUGGGCUCAACCUGGGAAUUGCAUUGAUACUGGCAGGCUAGAGUGCGGUAGAGGAUGGCGGAAUUCCCGGUGUAGCAGUGAAAUGCGUAGAGAUCGGAGGAACAUCUGUGGCGAAGGCGGCCAUCUG
rnacentral:rRNA from 1 species